rnacentral:rRNA from 1 species
UACGAAGGGGGCUAGCGUUGUUCGGAUUUACUGGGCGUAAAGCGCACGUAGGCGGACUAUUAAGUCAGGGGUGAAAUCCCGGGGCUCAACCCCGGAACUGCCUUUGAUACUGAGGAUCUUGAGUUCGGGAGAGGUGAGUGGAACUGCGAGUGUAGAGGUGAAAUUCGUAGAUAUUCGCAAGAACACCAGUGGCGAAGGCGGCUCACUGGCCCGAUACUGACGCUGAGGCACGAAAGCGUGGGGAGCAAACAGG